UGGGUCCCCUUAUUUCUUUCUCUAUACUUUGUCUCUGUGUCUUUUUCUUUUCCAAGUCUCUCGUCCCACUUAACGAGAAACACCCACAGGUGUGGAGGGGCAACCCACCCCUUCAGUGGUCUUUGACGUGCCCCAAAGACACAGGCUGAAUCCAUCAAUAGAUCUUCCAGAGGCAGAUAUUACAUUUGAUUUCUAGUCUUAAUUUUGCUCUUUUAUAAUAUGGAAAGAGCAGAGUUAAUUUUUAUUUCAUGUGUGGGUUAUGACUCACUGGGGAUUUGUCCAUGCAAAUGGUCCUGCCCAAAUGUAGAUAAUAAUUUAACAACAAUGAUAACCCUCAGGAUUAUUAGCUCAGACUCUAAAUGAAAAACUCUUCAUUCAUGGAAGUAAUUAUUCUCCUUUGCAUUGACUUCCAGAGAAUUUCUUAAAGACUUGAGAAGAGACUUCUCAGUUUGCUGUUUGAUUUAUCCUUCUCAUCACAAGUCACGGACGGAGUCUCUCUGUUGCCCAUGCAAUUCUUCUGCCUCAGCCUCCUAAGUAGCUGGGACUACAGGUGCACGCCCCCAUGCCGAGCUAAGUUUUGUUUUGUUUUGUUUUGUUUUGUUUUGUUUUGUUUUGUUUUUGACAGAGUCUUGCACUGUUGCCAGGCUGGAGUGCAGUGGCGUAAUCUCGGCUCAAUGCAACCUCUGCCUCCUGGGUUCAAGCGAUUCUCCUGCCUCUGCUUCCCAAGUAGCGGGGACUACAGGCACAGGCCACCAUGCCCAGCUAAUUUUUUUAUUUUUAGUAGAGACAGAGUUUCACCAUGUUGGCCAGGAUGGUCUCUAUCUCUUGUCCUCGUGAUCUGCCUGCUUCGGCCUCCCAAAGUGCUGGGAUUACAGACGUGAGCCACCAUGCUCGGCCUGUUUUAAAUUUCUUUUUACAAAAAUAAACAUAUGACAUAGUUUUGUAAUCUUCUUUGUCUCUUGAAGAAUUAUGUAGUUUAAACAUGUGCCCGUGUCAAUAAAUUCAGAUCUGCAUUUAUUAUAUGGCACUCUUGUAACUAAUUUAACUGAUCUCCUUUUGUUAAGCAUUUAGAUGGUUUCCAAUUUUUCAAAACUAUGAACAAUAGCAAAGUAAACUUUC
rnacentral:lncRNA from 10 species